CCUACGGGUGGCAGCAGUGAGGAAUAUUGGUCAAUGGGCGCGAGCCUGAACCAGCCAAGUCGCGUGAGGGAUGACGGCCCUACGGGUUGUAAACCUCUUUUGUCGGGGAGCAAAUUCCGCCACGUGUGGCGGCGUCGAGAGUACCCGAAGAAAAAGCAUCGGCAAACUCCGUGCCAGCAGCCGCGGUAAUACGGAGGAUGCGAGCGUUAUCCGGAUUUAUUGGGUUAAAAGGGUGCGUCGGCGGACUGUCAAGUCAGCGGUAAAAUACGGGGGCUCAACCUCCGCGCGCCGUUGAAACUGACGGUCUUGAGUGGGCGAGAGGUAUGCGGAAUGCGUGGUGUAGCGGUGAAAUGCAUAGAUAUCACGCAGAACCCCGAUUGCGAAGGCAGCGUACCGGCGCCCAACUGACGCUCAUGCACGAAAGCGUGGGUAUCGAACAGGAUUAGAUACCCGGGUAGUC
rnacentral:rRNA from 1 species